rnacentral:ncRNA from 1 species
UUGCCGGUGGGAGUCCGGUCCGGGUAGCUGUCAGGAGGCCCGGUAGCAGACUAGCGGCUUGGUCUGGAAACGGACCGGGUCGAAGCCCAGUGUCAAAAGCCCUGUCAGGGGAAGCGACUGAACGGUUCGCAGCAUUA